UGUGCUUCUGCAGGAGAAACUCAGUGAGAGACCCGCAGAGCCUCACCCGGGCCGAGCGGCACGGACCCUCGGCGGGUGGCAGCUGACGCCCCUGGAAGGAAGGCAGAUCCAGCUCCUCCAGCUCCACCACUGGUUCCUCCACAGCUUCACUCCAAGACACUUCUAGACCCCCAGGGGGUGUCUCAAGUGAAAGUCUGGCCCCACAUCUACCCCAGGUCCCCAGUCACCUUGGGCACAAGUCUGCGUCAGGCUCUGCGGAAACACCUGGUGCCGGCCCCAGGCUCACAGGGACAGCUGCGGGGCCUGGUCCGGCACAGCCCGUGCUCACCUUCAUGCCGUCAGCACCUCGGUACACGGCUGUGCAGCCCUGGAGACAUGUUUUUGAAGCUUCCCUGAGUUGCUUCUGUGCUGACUGACCCUCAAAAUCUACCUGAAGCCACCACAGCCAGAGCAACUCUGGACAGGAGGCCUCAGGUGAACACAGCAGAGGGCGAGGGCGCAGGGCACAGCAGGGUCAGAGGCAAACACAGCAGAGGGCAAGGCGCAGGCACAGCAGGGGUGAGUUCUGAGAACUGAAGCUUCAUCCUGUGCUACACAUGAAACCCAACACUGGAGAUAUCAGGAAAGAUGGCAGAACAGACAAAGGGGCUACCCCUUCAUCAAAAUGACCUUAAACGCUAGGAAAACGCUCAGAAUCCACUCGCUGAAACCAGGACAGCUUGAUUUCAAGCUCAAGCCCCAGCCUGGGCUUUGGAGGAACAGGUGCUGUUUCCCCCGGAAGCACAAGGUGAGCAGCUGCCACUCCCGCAUUCCUCAGCCCUGCCCCCGCUGCAGGGAGCCCAGCCUGUGUUCCUGGAGCUGCUGACUGGGACCAUGGUGGGCAGGAGACCUUGUCCUCCAGAACUUUGGGGUUGCGCAUUUUAGUUGGUCUGGCAAGUCCCUGAGGGACCAGCAAAUGCAGCAGCGUCCAGUGUAUGUCUAUUGUGGUUCCUUUUUGGAUCCAGUAAGGAUAGGGAAGGAAAUCCCUCAGGAGAAGAAGGGAACUUCACCACGAUAAAGCUUCGACGUGAAACCCACAGCACAUGCCACACUCGAUCGUGAAAGACUGAAAGCUCUUCCUCCAGGAUGAGGAAAAGACACGGGUUCUCUCACCACUGUUCUCAGCACAGCACUGGAGGCCCUGGCCAGAGUAACUGGGCAAGGAAAACAAAAAUUCUCCCUGUUCACAAAUGACAUGACCUUGUAUGUAGAAAACCCUAAAGCUCCACAUACACAAAAACCCGAAUAAAUGAUUUCAGCAAAGCUGCAGAGUGUAAAAUCCAUACACAAAACCCAAUUAUGUUUCUUUGUAUUAUCAAUGAACAAUCCAAAAAGGAAAUUAAAAGAAAAAUCCAUAUGCAAAA